rnacentral:rRNA from 1 species
GAUGAACGCUGGCGGCGUGCCUAAUACAUGCAAGUCGAGCGAACAGACGAGGAGCUUGCUCCUUUGACGUUAGCGGCGGACGGGUGAGUAACACGUGGGUAACCUACCUAUAAGACUGGGAUAACUUCGGGAAACCGGAGCUAAUACCGGAUAAUAUUUCGAACCGCAUGGUUCGAUAGUGAAAGAUGGCCCUGCUAUCACUUAUAGAUGGACCUGCGCCGUAUUAGCUAGUUGGUAAGGUAACGGCUUACCAAGGCAACGAUACGUAGCCGACCUGAGAGGGUGAUCGGCCACACUGGAACUGAGACACGGUCCAGACUCCUACGGGAGGCAGCAGUAGGGAACCUUCCGCAAUGGGCGAAAGCCUGACGGAGCAACGCCGCGUGAGUGAUGAAGGUCUUCGGAUCGUAAAACUCUGUUAUUAGGGAAGAACAAACGUGUAAGUAACUGUGCACGUCUUGACGGUACCUAAUCAGAAAGCCACGGCUAACUACGUGCCAGCAGCCGCGGUAAUACGUAGGUGGCAAGCGUUAUCCGGAAUUAUUGGGCGUAAAGCGCGCGUAGGCGGUUUUUUAAGUCUGAUGUGAAAGCCCACGGCUCAACCGUGGAGGGUCAUUGGAAACUGGAAAACUUGAGUGCAGAAGAGGAAAGUGGAAUUCCAUGUGUAGCGGUGAAAUGCGCAGAGAUAUGGAGGAACACCAGUGGCGAAGGCGACUUUCUGGUCUGUAACUGACGCUGAUGUGCGAAAGCGUGGGGAUCAAACAGGAUUAGAUACCCUGGUAGUCCACGCCGUAAACGAUGAGUGCUAAGUGUUAGGGGGUUUCCGCCCCUUAGUGCUGCAGCUAACGCAUUAAGCACUCCGCCUGGGGAGUACGACCGCAAGGUUGAAACUCAAAGGAAUUGACGGGGACCCGCACAAGCGGUGGAGCAUGUGGUUUAAUUCGAAGCAACGCGAAGAACCUUACCAAAUCUUGACAUCCUUUGACCCUUCUAGAGAUAGAAGUUUCCCCUUCGGGGGACAAAGUGACAGGUGGUGCAUGGUUGUCGUCAGCUCGUGUCGUGAGAUGUUGGGUUAAGUCCCGCAACGAGCGCAACCCUUAAGCUUAGUUGCCAUCAUUAAGUUGGGCACUCUAAGUUGACUGCCGGUGACAAACCGGAGGAAGGUGGGGAUGACGUCAAAUCAUCAUGCCCCUUAUGAUUUGGGCUACACACGUGCUACAAUGGACAAUACAAAGGGCAGCGAAACCGCGAGGUCAAGCAAAUCCCAUAAAGUUGUUCUCAGUUCGGAUUGUAGUCUGCAACUCGACUACAUGAAGCUGGAAUCGCUAGUAAUCGUAGAUCAGCAUGCUACGGUGAAUACGUUCCCGGGUCU